rnacentral:rRNA from 1 species
GGGGAUAAACGCAGCUAGCUGCGAUAAUAGUGCGAAUUGCAGACACAUUGAGCACUAACAUUUCGAACGCACAUUGCGCCAUCGGGUUCAUUCCCGUUGGCACGUCUGGCUGAGGGUCAGAAUAUGGAGAAGUAAGAUCGUGGCACGCGUACGUAUGGAAUGUGCUUAACGCGUAAGCUUCUGGUGCAUUCUUUCGCAACGUGCAUUCGGUGAGCUACGCCGGUAAUCGAUGUUGUGUGAAAUUAUACCACGUACCUUGCCAAGACUAUGUAUGCACAAGAAAUCGCUGUCGUUUGCUCGUGAAGAGGCGAGAAUGGCCAUUGGCGUAUGUGUUCCUUCACGAUAUGGCCUCCAGCAAGCGUUGUUUGUUGUUGCUUGGCGGCAAAAUCUAGGUUGGAGGUAACGUCAUCGGCUGCUUGAAGAAGGAAUGCGCGCUGAAUGGUUGACAUCAAAUUUUUUUGACCUCAGCUCAGUCGUGACCACCCGCUGAAUUUAAGCAUAUAACUAAGCGGAGGAAAAGAACCAUACACCCAGGAGAC